rnacentral:rRNA from 1 species
UACGUAGGGUGCAAGCGUUGUCCGGAAUUAUUGGGCGUAAAGAGCUCGUAGGCGGUCUGUCGCGUCUGCUGUGAAAACUCAGGGCUUAACCCUGAGCUUGCAGUGGGUACGGGCAGACUAGAGUGCGGUAGGGGAGACUGGAAUUCCUGGUGUAGCGGUGAAAUGCGCAGAUAUCAGGAGGGAACACCGGUGGGCGAAAGGCGGGU